rnacentral:rRNA from 1 species
AUUGAACGCUGGCGGCAGGCCUAACACAUGCAAGUCGAGCGGAUGAAGGGAGCUUGCUCCUGGAUUCCGCGGCGGACGGGUGAGUAAUGCCUAGGAAUCUGCCUGGUAGUGGGGGAUAACGUCCGGAAACGGGCGCUAAUACCGCAUACGUCCUGAGGGAGAAAGUGGGGGAUCUUCGGACCUCACGCUCUCAGAUGAGCCUAGGUCGGAUUAGCUAGUUGGUGGGGUAAAGGCCUACCAAGGCGACGAUCCGUAACUGGUCUGAGAGGAUGAUCAGUCACACUGGAAGUGAGACACGGUCCAGACUCCUACGGGAGGCAGCAGUGGGGAAUAUUGGACAGUGGGCGAAAGCCUGGUCCAGCCAUGCCGCGUGUGUGAAGAAGGUCUUCGGAUUGUAAAGCACUUUAAGUUGGGAGGAAGGGCAGUAAGUUAAUACCUUGCUGUUGUGACGUUACCAACAGAAUAAGCACCGGCUAACUUCGUG